UAUCACAGGGUGUACACCAACUGUGAUAUUAGGAAUAAUAUCUCCCUUGAAUAUUAUGAAUAAUAUCACAGUGGGUGUACACACACGUCGU
rnacentral:miRNA from 1 species